ensembl:lncRNA
GUAGGAUUAACCACACAACUGGAGUCACACACUUCAGUAUAGGGCUACAAGAUUUUCAGAAGAGAUAGGCAGGGAGGAAGGGUGGGAGCGCUCUGUGUUAACAAAAGAGAAGGCUUGUGGAGACCUCACUGCAGCCUUUUAGCGUUUAAAGGGAGAUUUAGUUUAGAUAUAAAGAAGAAAUUCCCAGGGUGGUGAGGCACUGGAACAAGUUGCCCAGGGAAGCUGUGGAUGCCCCAUCCGUGGAGGCCUUCAAGGCCAGAUUGGAUGGGGCCCUGGGGCAGCCUCAUCUACUGGUGGCAGCCCUGCCCAUUGCAAGGGGUUGGAACUGGGUGGGCUUUAAGGUCCCUUUCAACCCAAGCUCUUCUGUGAUUCUGUAUGAUUUUUUGGGACAAGACCUGAGGGAAUGAAUGGCAAGCGUCACCUCCUGGUGUGGUACCUCAGUUAGCUGAAGUCUGAGUCAAUCACCGAAUGACUGAACAAUGUGCACAUUUAGCAUUAAUGGUCACAUUAAGCCCACAGUAAAUGUCACAAAUAGGAAUCACCUUAUUUCUUUCUGUGAAGCGUCCAGAUUCCAUUUGUUCAGCAAAAUAUUUUCACGGGAUCACAAAUCUGCCCUGAGUUUCAAAUUCACAGAGAGCUCCCAGUUACAGCAAGGACUAAUUUAGGUUUUUGAGGUGCAUAUGGUGUACAGAGGGGAUCUUGGUUCAAACAUGUAAGAUACAGCUUGCCGGGGUAGUCUGAACACCUGCAGAGAGGAACAUCUGAAGAGUUGUUGAGGUUCGGAGACCACUUGAUCUAAAAGUAGUGGGGAGCUGUGAGAACAGCACUGAUGGCGGCGCUAACAAUGAGGGGAAUGUAAGGAUGUGGUUUGCUCUCAAGAAGGUUAGAAAGAAAGUAGGAGGGGGAAGGAGGAGAGAGAGGUGGGCUGCUGGUAUGCAGAACAGUAGGAACUAAAGCGCAGUGAAAGGAAAUAGCUGAGGCUGUAAAAAGUGAAAAAGGUUACCGAGAACUGAAGAAAUCAGAGAUGAGAUAAUGUGGCUGAAUGGAGAACUGCCCAAGCUUCUUGCUUCUCGUUUCUGCAGUUCACCCUGUGUCAACCUCUAGCAGCACGGGAGGUUACAUGGACAAUUUGUUCUGAUCCUUUUGCCUGCAAACAUCACUUCCCAGACCAGAAAUUAACGGAUCAACAGAAAAGGAGGGGAGGAUGGUUCUCCUCAGAAACACUCACUGGGACCUCAGCCUCUGAAGACGUUGCUGUUGUUGGAGUGUUCGGGGGAUACUAGGCUUUGGCAAGCCUACCUGGAGGGGCUGAAGAAGUUUCUUGCCUUUAGGAAGGACAUGGGGAUGCCUGCAGCCUGGCCCAUUCCAGAGGAUCAAGUUAGAGGAUUUCUAGCUGUGGAGUCUCUUUACUCGUGCUCAAAAACAUUGACGUAUGUGGCAGCGUUGUCUUACUUAUCAAGACUGUCUGGUAACCCUGACCCUCUGGAAGAUGCUAUAACCCGUUGUAUGGUAAUGGGGUUGAGACGUCAAGUGGGCAUCCUGAGGGAAAAAUACACUCCUAUAACAAUUGAGGUGCUACGAUCUCUCUUAGGAGCACUGGAAUCUGUGUGUGUAUCCCAUUAUGAAUGCUUACUGUUCCGUGCAUUGUUCACCGUGGCUCUUUUUGGGGCACUUCGAAUAGGAGAGAUGGUGGCAAAGCACCGUAAUGUACUGCAGCCUGAACUGCUGUACUUGAGGGAUGUGCGGGUGACAGAAAGCAGGGUGGCGUUUCACCUGCAUAACUGUCCUGUCGGCCAGGAGAGACCCAUCAUCAGCCUUGCUCUGUCAGGAGAGCCGUGGGUGUGCCCUGUCCUGGCCCUCCGGAGCUAUGUCGCUGUGCGUUCAAGACUGGAAGGGCCGCUCUUCGUGCACGGGGACGAUGUGCCUGUAACAAAGAGGGGGUUUCUGACUGUUCUCAGGUGGGCCCUUAGGCUGCUGGGGCUGCCCCCGGAGCAGUACGGCGUGCACUCCUUCUGGCUGGGGACUAUCAUCACUGCUGCACGCUGUGGAUAUCCCAGGGAAGAUAUCACUCGCCUGGUGAGGUGGCCAUGUGUGUUCCCAGAGAAGUCAUAGCUAUGGAGACAGUGGGCAAAAGAAGCUAGUGGUUUCUUUCUGUAGUUUUAACAACACACACAGUUUAUAGUCCUUGGCAGUAAUUUAACAUUACCAUCUGUAAUGAAUGUUCUACCUCACUGUGGAUAUAAUCUAUGAAGUUCACUUGCAUUUGUUUUCACCCUCUGUACUGUUGAGGGUGGGGGACUGUCAAACUUGCUGUGCCCGCAGAUGCUUUUAUCUUGUAUGACUUCAGUUAAUAAAUGCUUCCUUUUUCAAAAAGCAGUCUAUGCUUACUGGUAAUAUUAUUCUUUAUCUGAAGAAGCUGUGGACUUUGGCUUUUUUGAGCAAUAAAUGAUUCUAAAGUUUUGAAGAAAAAAAACCCAACACCUCAAGACUUUGCAGUAGACACUGUAAGAUGUCGUAGUUAUAUAGUAUAGUUAACUAUAACAUACGUUGGUGUUAGAUGUCAAGCUAUGGUAAAAGAUGUUGCUUAGGUCAAAAAGGGAACAAGCUAUGUUAUUAGCCUAAUAACAGACACCAAAGACUGAGGUUUUUU